rnacentral:tRNA from 1 species
GCCAGUGUGGCAUAGUGGUUUGAGCCUUGGACUGAAACUCUGAAGACCAUGGUUUGAUUCGCACCUUGGUCA